GAUGAACGCUGGCGGCGUGCCUAAUACAUGCAAGUCGAGCGAAUGGAUUAAGAGCUUGCUCUUAUGAAGUUAGCGGCGGACGGGUGAGUAACACGUGGGUAACCUGCCCUUGACUCUGGGAUAACUGCGGGAAACUGUAGCUAAUACCGGAUACGACCCUCGGCGGCAUCGCCAGGGGGUGGAAAGAAUUUCGGUCAAGGAUGGACUCGCGGCCUAUCAGCUAGUUGGUGAGGUAACGGCUCACCAAGGCGACGACGGGUAGCCGGCCUGAGAGGGUGACCGGCCACACUGGGACUGAGACACGGCCCAGACUCAUGCGGGAGGCAGCAGUGGGGAAUAUUGCACAAUGGGCGCAAGCCUGAUGCAGCAACGCCGCGUGAGGGAUGACGGCCUUCGGGUUGUAAACCUCUUUUAGUAGGGAAGAAGCGAAAGUGACGGUACCUGCAGAAAAAGCACCGGCUAACUACGUGCCAGCAGCCGCAGUAA
rnacentral:rRNA from 1 species